AAAAUUGGCAAGUCCUUCUUCGACUGAAGCGAAACGGCGCCGCGUUCUUUACUCUCCCCUUACGCGACGUGCCUUGGCCUACCUGCUUCAGCGAUUCUUCUUCUCGCCGCCUCAACCAACCCGUCAGAUCAGAUAGCGUAACUGCCGAACGCCGUCCUUCCCCAUCUCUCCGCUUUCCCUUUGCUCCACUCUCCUUCUUCGCCUUCCGGCCCUCGCGACCAUGAUUUCCACCGCUAGUGGACCCAAAACCGUCGUCACCGGCUACCCUGCUGCCACCGCCGGCUCAUCCUACCCCUACCCGGCUCCGCCGCCAGCCUCCUACUACCCUAAUGGCCAUCCGCCCCCACCCCCGCCCCAGCCGCUGUACUACCCCGCGGCUUACCCCGCCGCCGCCCCUCCUCCCCGCUACAACACCGCUUUCCUCCGCCGCCUCCUCUCCAUCGCUGUUGCCCUCUUCCUCCUCUUCGGCCUCGUCACGCUCAUCGUCUGGCUCGUCCUCCGCCCCCGCCUACCGGAGUUCACCGUCUCCUCUGCUACCGUCUCUGGUUUCAACCUUUCCACCUCGCAGCAGCUGCUGUCCGCCGACUUCGAUCUCGAUCUUACCGUCCAUAAUCCCAACAGCAAGAUGGGGAUCUACUACGACCACGUCGCCGCUGCCGUCCUCUAUGGUUCCGACCCCCUGUCCGAGACCUCGCUCGCGCCUUUCUAUCAGGCGAAAGGGGCGACCACCGCUCUCCGCGCUCGGCUUGUGGCAGUCGCGAUGUACGUCGAUUCCAACGUGGUGAAGGGGAUCAACUCGGACCGUGGCCGAGGCGAUGGGGCCGUGCGCUUCCAGGCUAGGGUUUCGGCGUGGGUGAGGUUUAAGCCCGGGGCAUGGAAGACGAGAUGGCACACGAUGAGGGUCUACUGCGAUGAUGUUCCGAUUGGUUUGAGAAAUGGGACAACUGCAGCGACCACGGGUUACCUGGUCGGCUCGACACCAAAGAAAUGCGUGGUUAAUCUCUGAAAGCUGAAGGACGGUGCAACAGAAGCUGGGUGUGAGAUGGUUGGUGCAGUAACAUACGAGGAUACCACAGUUGUGUCAGUCUUCCUACUCGAAAGCAAGGUCAAGGUAUACACGAGAUUAGUUGACGUGAGUGAUGUGAAGUCUCUUGGAGUUGGAAGCAUGCGGCUCACCUAACAUGUGGUGGUGUCUCAUGAUGACCGAUUUGCCUUGCCUGCCCACAGAUUUCUUUAGCAAACUACCAAAGGAUUUCACUAACGUGUUAGGGACGCGAUGCGGAUGGGAUCGUGUUUGUCGUAGCGUCAAUGCUAUUUUCCCGGGGCUCUGUUCCUGCUUCCUCUUUUUCUUUCAGAUAUGGCCUACUGUAUUCAAAUCAUAUAGACAUAUGGUCAAUUGUGUUUUCCCUAGAGAUUACGUCUGCGUUACGUUCAAUAUCUUGAUGCCAUGUCAUGAUGGGAGGUAACAUUGGUUUUCGUA